CCAAAAGUGAAAGUCAUUGCCAACAGAGUAAAAGGGUGGUCUUCACUGGGGUACCUCAGUUACAGACCUGGUGGGACAUGGUGCUUCAUCUACAGUGACGGAGAACCAAAUACAACGUGGACGGACGUCUUCUAUAAAGACAAAAGCUGCCUGAAUAACCUGAAACAAGGGUGGGAUGACAGAGUCUUCACCAGUGCUGGAGGGACUCAAUGGUGAAGAUUCAUUUAUUGAACUUCACUGUGAGGAAGAAGAGGUCCCUCCAUCAGCACUAUGUUGUGGCUGCAUAUAUAACUGUCAACGGACUGACACAGCCUCUCGCCCUCAUGUAGAGACCACAGUGUACAAUACCAGCAGUGAUUUAGUGUCUCAGCGUUUGGACACUCCUGCUGGUGAAAUGGAGGAACACAUCGUGAUCACUGCUGUGCAAGAGGCAACGGACACAAGCAGCUCAGCGCUCAUCAACGUGGGAUCAGAGGAACACAGCUCCUUCCAGACCACUGAAACAAUGCAGGAUGAGAUCAUGGACACACCUGUUGUGACACCUGCACACGCAAGUAAGAAAAUAUUUCUGGGGGGCUGACAUGUAAAUCAUUCUGACCAAUUCUACACCAAAUCUCCAACAUACAACAGUUGAACAUGGCUCUGAAAGCUGCAAAGUAGAUCAAACAACACAAAGCAAAAUAAAGCCAAGCACUGUAUUGUUCUCUUCUUCCUCUGGUUGAUGCAGAUUGCAAAUACAAAUAUGUGCACUGAGCUGAUGAACUAAGA